rnacentral:tRNA from 1 species
ACCCCCGUCAUCUAGCGGCAAGGAGCUCCGUCUUUCAAUCGGAGGGCGUCGGUUCGAAUCCGAUCGGGGGUGCCA